CAAUGUUUCAGUUGCAUGGACCUACAUUGUAUGAAGCAAUCUGAUAAAAAUGAAGCCCUGACUGUCGUAUAACACAUGUAUGCAUGUGCACACGUGAAGAGAGACAGAGAUAAAGAAUGCUAGAAAUAUAUUUAGUUACAUCUGAAAAAUAUGGCAUAUGGAUUAUUGUAUUCUUUCACUAUUAUAAAAGGAUUUUCGGUCAUUAAAGUAAAGAAUUGAUCAUGAAAUCAUAAAACAACUUCACUGCUUAUAAUUCUCCUCUUUGUUGUCACAUUGCACAUAACAAACCUUGGAGUCAGCAAAAGAUAUUGGAGCAGGCAAAUGAUGCUCUUUUAUCCAUCAAUCCAGCCCCAACAAUAUAGACCAAGUCAAAGGUCAAAUAUUGUGCACCAGAAUGUUGAUAUAGCUGAAGAUGAAUAGGUAGAGAAAAACAGUCCUUUGUUCCUAAUUCAUUCCAACUUUUACAGUUCUUCUCAACUUAUACAUUUGCUACAUGAAUUUUAAACCAGUUAAGAACCUCUGACCAACAACAUUAAAAGGACAUUGGACCUUUUCUAGCAUGCAGAAGAAGAAAAGUAAAAGUUAUUAACAAUCUAUUCAUGUUCUCAUAAGGGAAAGAAUAUAGAGAUUCUAUCCAGAAAUACCCACAAAAUAAAGCAAAGCAUAGCAGACUAUACAUAUCAUUAUUGGAUGGCAAUAAAGACGGUCCAAACAACCUACAUCUUAGUUAGAGCAAAUGGUACAAUUAUAGACUGUACUUGUGAGUAAAUUAUACCCAAUGCAUAAUCAAGGAAACCAACAAUGUUUUGAUGAAUGCAUGACACUGAAUUGCCAUAAUUUCAAGCAUUUUUAGUUUCGCAAUUUUCAAAGAAUUAAUAAAAUACCAUUCUUUCUUUUUUGUUUCUUUUUCUACUAAUAAAGACUAGACAUCAG
rnacentral:misc_RNA from 1 species